rnacentral:rRNA from 1 species
AACGAACGCUGGCGGCAUGCCUAACACAUGCAAGUCGAACGAGACCUUCGGGUCUAGUGGCGCACGGGUGCGUAACGCGUGGGAACCUGCCCUUAGGUUCGGAAUAACUCCCCGAAAGGGGUGCUAAUACCGGAUAAUGUCUUCGGACCAAAGAUUUAUGGCCUUUGGAUGGGCCCGCGUUGGAUUAGCGAGUUGGUAGGGUAAAAGCAUACCAAGGCGACGAUCCAUAGCUGGUCUGAGAGGAUGAGCAGCCACACUGGGACUGAGACACGGCCCAGACUCCUACGGGAGGCAGCAGUGGGGAAUAUUGGACAAUGGGCGAAAGCCUGAUCCAGCAAUGCCGCGUGAGUGAUGAAGGCCUUAGGGUUGUAAAGCUCUUUUACCCGGGAUGAUAAUGACAGUACCGGGAGAAUAAGCUCCGGCUAACUCCGUG